ACAAAAUACUAUACUUUUAAGAAUAAUCCCGUUGUAACUUUUGAACAGACGGUCGGACCUUUAUGGGCUUAUAAUAUAAAAUGUAGAGCUCGUCGAGAGGAACAUUUUAUACGCUGUAUGUAUGCAGCAAAGUCUUAUCGUUUUCCUAAUAUGUAAGCUUGAAAUUUCAGCGUAAUUUUAUUCUGCACUCGGUGACCUUUGACCUUGGGGGCAUAUUGAAGGUCACAUGAAUUAAAGAUUAUUGGUGAAGGUUCAAGGUCUCUAUGACUUUAGGUUCUGAAAAUAGAAUUUUUUAAAAAUUAUUUUUUAUUUUUAAAGGGAAAUAACUCCUUAUAAGGGUUAAUAACAAAAUGAUUGUACAUGUUCAUUAACAUUGCCAUCUGUUCCUGUACAUGUUGCCGUUUUCAAAUCGAUUCUAUCUCUUAUACUUUUUGAGAAAAAUGCAAAGGAAGGAACUUGUUUCAAGGGGAUAUAACUCUCAUAGGGGACGAUGAAAUCCUAUUCAGCCUCCCAUGGUAAUACAUCAUGAUAAUAUCUACAUUUUGUCCAAUUAAGUUCAUGAUAUCUUUAAAACCAACGAGGGAGGGCCAUUUUGAAAAAAAUCAAUAAAAGGGGGAUAACUCAUCAAGGGAAUGAUGAAAUCCCUAACAGAGUCAUUUGGUAAUACAUCUUGGUGAGAUCCAGCGAUGGUCCAUAUUUGGUCUUAAUAACUUCAACAGAAACAAGAAGCGGGCAUGUCAAAAAAAUGUUGGAAGAAAAAAAAGAAAAAAAAAGAAAAAGACUAGUAUCUCAAUUGUUUGUAAAACAAUUGAAAGGUCUUUCCUGUAAAAGUGAUGUUUUCGUUAUGUACCUUGUACGACCUUUCGUUUGAUAUACGACAAGCAUACUUUCUGAAACUUUCCGCUUUUAACACUUAAUGACUUCAACCGCCUACAUUUUUG
rnacentral:lncRNA from 1 species